rnacentral:sRNA from 1 species
AGCCUUUAGUCUGCCUGCGCGCUCACAUGCACCCACUUCCUUCUGAAGUCUACUCCUCACAAGUAAAGGCUAUGGUGCGGGGUGCCUGAUUCCUGAGAAAUCUGAAGAUGUGGAAGUUUAUUUUUUUCUUCCCAAAAUCAGCAGUAGAGGGAAUCAGGUGAGGAGACCAAAGUACAACACACAGCUCUUUUAUUGCCAGUGGAAACAUUAAACAUAGAGAGACCUGAACCAUCUCUAAAGAUAGUCGAACUGGAUGAU